rnacentral:rRNA from 1 species
CAGUCGCCGCGGUAAUACGAAGGGUGCAAGCGUUAAUCGGAAUUACUGGGCGUAAAGCGUGCGUAGGCGGUUUGUUAAGUCUGCUGUGAAAUCCCCGGGCUCAACCUGGGAAUGGCAGUGGAUACUGGCAAGCUAGAGUGUGUCAGAGGAUGGUGGAAUUCCCGGUGUAGCGGUGGAAUGCGUAGAGAUCGGGAGGAACAUCAGUGGCGGAGGCGGCCAUCUGGGACAACACUGACGCUGAGGCACGAAAGCGUGGGGAGCAAACAGGAUUAGAUACCCCGGUAGUCCCUGUCUCUUAUAC